UGGCGUGUUUUGUAACACACCUUAAGGUGUGUUUAACACACACCUUAAGGUGUGUUAAACACACCUUAAGGUGUGUUCUAAAACCCA